rnacentral:lncRNA from 1 species
GAAUAAGGGAUUGUUCACAAUUUCUGUGAUUUUCUGUCUCUGUGCACUGUGAAAUUGAUGGCUGCAUGUUCUUCUGGUUCUUCUCCCUCUAGUGCACGGACAGCAAGUGUCAUUGCUGACAUAGACACAGGGUUUUGCCAAACUGUUGGAUUCUGCUUGAUUCUGUGGGAAGGAAUCUGAUUUGAACCAUAGUGUUCUGUCUGGAAGGCAACUAAUGGAGCCCAGCCCCUAAAGCUCAGCAAAAUCCAGGAGAAACCUUCCUUCUCCAUUCAGGAAGUCAUUAUUGAAUGUUUCUUUACAUUAUGGAUUGUGAUACACUGAAAUGCUUGCACACUGCCUGUGUUUCUGGGAAGGGGUGUUGCUAAAUCAGAAUAAGGGAUUGUUCACAAUUUCUGUGAUUUUCUGUCUCUGUGCACUGUGAAAUUGAUGGCUGCAUGUUCUUCUGGUUCUUCUCCCUCUAGUGCAUGGACAGCAAGUCCCAUUAGUCCUCUAAUUCCUGAGGAUGACAACGCAGAGAGCCAGGCAUACCCACUCGGUUCCAGACCAGCCGAGGAUGCAGCUGAAGUCCUGGCAAAUGAGAAUGAAGAGGAGCCACAAGAUAUUGAAACGUAUGUGACAGAUAAAGAGACUCUCCAAAGUCUAAUCUCUGCUAGAUGGUAGAAAGAGGCUUCUGCCAAGCUUUAUGACAGUUCUACUCUGUAGAUGAAAUCUUAAUUGAAGGUAUCUUUCAGUAACACUUGAGGGACACUGAAGAGUCGGAAGUACGUAAAAGUAAUUGAAAUGAUUGUGCUGUUGGGCUGGAAUGUUGCUAAAUCAGAAUAAGGGAUGUUUUAUUUUCUGGCACUUCUGUAGCAGUGACCACUCAUGCACGGUGAAAUUAAUUGGCUGCAUGUUUUUCUGCAUCUGUUUUCUGUAGAACAAGGCCCUCUGGUAGUCUCCUCUGUGUUAUUUGCAGGGGUUGCUACUCACAGGUAAGAAUCCACAAGUUGUUUUUUCUGCUUUGUGGAAGGGGAGGGGAAAAAAGGGGAGCUGCACAACUCAGUUGUCUUAGGUGGGUGCUACAGGCAGCUGGAUGGCAGCACAGCCCUUGCUGGGAAGCUCCAAGUUCCUGCAGCCCAUGCCUGCAAGUCCCUCCUUGCUGGUGUCCAUAGGGGGAGAAGCUCUUGCCAGGAUGGCACUGUCAGAUCCAGAUGUUCCUUGGAAUUCUAGCAUUGACUGAUAGAGUUCUUUAUUGCCAGUGCCUGUUGUGGUUUCCUUUC